GGAAAAUAAAUUGAACACGGUGGAAGGUGAAGGCAGCCGAGUACAGUGAGACUAGGAAGCAGCCAAUCAGAUGGCGAGGGUCUAAAGAUCUGAUGCCUCCGGGAAGCCGCACCAAGCUGGGCUGGUUAGUCGGCUUUUAUUGCGGACGAACACCACAUACAUGUUGUAACGCUGCCUAUGUUGGCAGCGGCCACCAAGCAGACACCGUAGCUAAGAAGAGAGAGAGAUACAUGCCCAAGCAGCUCAUUCUACACAGCAGCCAGCAAGACGGUACCCCUGUGCUGGAAUGUUCUCACUCAAAGUCACACAGCUGGUAUACACUGAAAGCCCACUGCAUGCCACACUGCAUCUAGACACCAGGGUAAAGCAGGAAACGAGACAGCUACCUGAACAUCCUCCAUUUCCGGUGCUUUCUUUCUAGUGUUGGUGUGAGGCAUUUUAACCAAGAUCAAAUAAAUGACUAAUUUCAGACGGUUGGUUGUAAGUACUCAUGAAGAAAACAAAAAGAAACUGGAGAGUCGGUAUCAAAGUAGCUGCCGCAGUUGUAGAAAGACCCGACACAGACGUGAACUUGGCCUGGUCAAGGGACAGAAACACGGGUGCCGCUGCAGUGGCUUCCACGAGUGGAGGGUGGGGCAGGAGAUGACGGCAAGGAAGGAAGCAGAGGCCAGACUGUGCGGACGAAGAUAAGAAGCUGGAAUUUCAUUCCAUUACAGUGGGGUCUUCACUGGGGAGCAGUAGAGUCAGGUUUGAGCUCUAGAUUACUAUGGCUGCUGGGUGGAAAAUGUACUGCAAAAAGGAAAGAGUGUUGGCAAAAAUGUCCGCUAGGAGGUGGGUGCCAGGAUCCAGGAGAGACCAAAAUGGCUGAAGUUAAAAUCUUGACAUUGGAGGCGAUGGGAAGUAGUUAUUUUCAGCAAGUAGUUAGAGAUGAAAUUAAUAAAACUGGCUGAAGGCUUGGAUGUGGGGAUGAGAAAAAGGGCAGCAACCAGGUGUGGCUCCUGGAUUUUUGGCCUAAGAAAUUGGGUAGAAGGAGGUGUUAUUUACCAGGAAGGGAAUAAAGGAGAAAGGGACAGAGUGGGGUGGGAAGAGAAUGGGCUUGGAGCAAAUGCUUUGCUUUUAAGUUUCAUCACAAACUUUUAUAGUGAUCUUCACAUAUGGAUUUCCUGAAAAUUUUACAGCUUUUCAAAUUAUAUUAAUAGUUUUUUCUACAUCCCCACUUUGACAAUCACUCAAGUAGAGCAAAUAUUAUUUUUUAUUGACAUACAUACAAAUUCAUAUAUUUCUUUUUGGGAGAAUCAUUUGGCUUUUCUAGAUAUAAAAUAAUAUCACCAGGAAUAAGAGGAAGUUUGAUCUUUUUCUUUUCAAUGCUUAUGCAGUUACAUUAUAACUUAAUGAUAUAUACUGAAACCUUCAAGGGUGAUAAUAGAAG
ensembl:lncRNA